UCCUCAGUAGCUCAGUGGUAGAGCGGUCGCCUAUUAACUGAUUGGUCGUAGGUUCGAAUCCUACUUGGGGAG
rnacentral:tRNA from 1 species